UGAGUGCUGUACACAGUAAGUGCUCAA
rnacentral:piRNA from 1 species